CCAAUAUAUGUUGACUUUCUAGGCCACAUGCCUUUGCUUGCAAGGCAAGUUUUCUAUGGAUGGACCACGUAGUUAGCUUGUUCUUUAAGCUUCCAACAUGUGUGGCACAUGGCUAACUUGUUGACCAAGUUUCUAACCUAAAAGUCAACUAUAGACUCCUAUAAAGUCAAAGCAGCGUCUAUGAAGCUUCUAAGAAGCUUCUCUAGAAGAUAUUACACAAUUAAUCUACUUUUAUCUACUUUUACAUACUUUUAUCUAUUCAUAUAGGUAAUUAUAUGUAUGUCCGUGACA
rnacentral:lncRNA from 1 species